rnacentral:rRNA from 1 species
GAUGAACGCUAGCGGCAGGCCUAAUACAUGCAAGUCGAACGGAUAUAUGCUUUUCGGAAUAUAUAUUAGUGGCGCACGGGUGAGUAACACGUACAUAACUUGCCCUCAAGCGGGGGAUAGCCUUGGGAAACUGAGAGUAAUACCCCAUAGAAUUAUUGGACGGCAUCGUUUGAUAAUUAAAACUACGGUGCUUGGGGAUAGAUGUGCGUCUGAUUAGCUAGUUGGUGAGGUAACUGCUCACCAAGGCGACGAUCAGUAGGGGGCGUGAGAGCGUGGCCCCCCACACGGGUACUGAGACACGGACCCGACUCCUACGGGAGGCAGCAGUAAGGAAUAUUGGUCAAUGGAGGGAACUCUGAACCAGCCAUGCCGCGUGAAGGAUGACGGCCCUCUGGGUUGUAAACUUCUUUUGGAUGGGGCGAAAAACGGGAUUUAUCCUGGACUGACGGUACCAUCAGAAUAAGCACCGGCUAACUCCGUGCCAGCAGCCGCGGUAAAGUAGUCGUG